rnacentral:rRNA from 1 species
ACAGUGGACGCGAGCAUCUGUGGCCAAGUUUUUAAGGGCGCACGGUGGAUGCCUUGGCACCAGGAACCGAUGAAGGACGUGGGAGGCCACGAUAGGCCCCGGGGAGUCGUCAACCAGGCUUUGAUCCGGGGGUGUCCGAAUGGGGAAACCCGGCAGUCGUCAUGGGCUGUCACCCGCUGCUGAACACAUAGGCAGUGUGGAGGGAACGCGGGGAAGUGAAACAUCUCAGUACCCGCAGGAAGAGAAAACAACCGUGAUUCCGGGAGUAGUGGCGAGCGAAACUGGAUGAGGCCAAACCGUAUACGUGUGAGACCCGGCAGGGGUUGCGUGUGCGGGGUUGUGGGAUCUCUCUUCCACGGUCUGCCGGCCGUGGGGCGAGUCAGAAACCGUUGAUGUAGGCGAAGGACAUGCGAAAGGUCCGGCGUAGAGGGUAAGACCCCCGUAGUCGAAACGUCAGCGGCUUGCUUGAGAGACACCCAAGUAGCACGGGGCCCGAGAAAUCCCGUGUGAAUCUGGCGGGACCACCCGCUAAGCCUAAAUAUUCCCUGGUGACCGAUAGCGGAUAGUACCGUGAGGGAAUGGUGAAAAGUACCGCGGGAGCGGAGUGAAAUAGUACCUGAAACCGUGUGCCUACAAGCCGUGGGAGCGUCGGACAUCAGCUUGCUGGUGUCUCGUGACUGCGUGCCUUUUGAAGAAUGAGCCUGCGAGUUUGCGGUGUGUUGCGAGGUUAACCCGGGUGGGGUAGCCGUAGCGAAAGCGAGUCCGAACAGGGCGUUUCAGUAGCACGCUCAAGACCCGAAGCGGAGUGAUCUAGCCAUGGGCAGGUUGAAGCGGAGGUAAGACUUCGUGGAGGACCGAACCCACCAGGGUUGAAAACCUGGGGGAUGACCUGUGGUUAGGGGUGAAAGGCCAAUCAAACUCCGUGAUAGCUGGUUCUCCCCGAAAUGCAUUUAGGUGCAGCGUCGUGUGUUUCUUGCCGGAGGUAGAGCACUGGAUAGGCGAUGGGCCCUACCGGGUUACUGACCUUAGCCAAACUCCGAAUGCCGGUAAGUGAGAGCGCGGCAGUGAGACUGUGGGGGAUAAGCUCCAUGGUCGAGAGGGAAACAGCCCAGAGCAUCGACUAAGGCCCCUAAGCGUACGCUAAGUGGGAAAGGAUGUGGAGUCGCACAGACAACCAGGAGGUUGGCUUAGAAGCAGCCACCCUUGAAAGAGUGCGUAAUAGCUCACUGGUCUAGUGAUUCCGCGCCGACAAUGUAGCGGGGCUCAAGCGUACCGCCGAAGUCGUGUCAUUGCAGCAAUACGGCCAACGCCGGCUGUGAUGGGUAGGGGAGCGUCGUGUGCCGGGUGAAGCAGCCGCGUAAGCGAGUUGUGGACGGUUCACGAGUGAGAAUGCAGGCAUGAGUAGCGAUACAAACGUGAGAAACGUUUGCGCCGAUUGACUAAGGGUUCCUGGGUCAAGCUGAUCUGCCCAGGGUAAGUCGGGACCUAAGGCGAGGCCGACAGGCGUAGUCGAUGGAUAACCGGUUGAUAUUCCGGUACCCGCUGUGAAGCGUCAAACAUCGAAUCCAGUGAUGCUAAGGCCGUGAAGCCGCCCCUGAUCUCUUCGGAGUGAAGGGGAGUGGUGGAGCCGCUGAACCAAGUUGGUAGUAGGUGAGUGAUGGGGUGACGCAGGAAGGUAGUCCAUCCCGGGCGGUGGUUGUCCCGGGGUAAGGGUGUAGGCCGUGCGGUAGGUAAAUCCGUCGCACACAAGGCUGAGACCUGAUGCCGAGCCGAUUGUGGUGAAGUGGAUGAUCCUAUGCUGUCGAGAAAAGCCUCUAGCGAGUUUCAUGGCGGCCCGUACCCUAAACCGACUCAGGUGGUCAGGUAGAGAAUACCGAGGCGUUCGGGUGAACUAUGGUUAAGGAACUCGGCAAAAUGCCCCCGUAACUUCGGGAGAAGGGGGGCCAUUCUUGGUGAUCGGAUUUACUCCGUGAGCUGGGGGUGGCCGCAGAGACCAGCGAGAAGCGACUGUUUACUAAAAACACAGGUCCGUGCGAAGCCGUAAGGCGAUGUAUACGGACUGACGCCUGCCCGGUGCUGGAACGUUAAGGGGACCGGUUAGCUCCAUUUCGGUGGGGCGAAGCUGAGAACUUAAGCGCCAGUAAACGGCGGUGGUAACUAUAACCAUCCUAAGGUAGCGAAAUUCCUUGUCGGGUAAGUUCCGACCUGCACGAAUGGCGUAACGACUUCUCGACUGUCUCAACCAUAGGCCCGGUGAAAUUGCACUACGAGUAAAGAUGCUCGUUUCGCGCAGCAGGACGGAAAGACCCCGGGACCUUUACUACAGUUUGAUAUUGGUGUUCGGUUCGGCUUGUGUAGGAUAGCUGGGAGACUUUGAAGCUCGCACGCCAGUGUGGGUGGAGUCGUCGUUGAAAUACCAGUCUGGUCGUGCUGGAUGUCUAACCUGGGUCCGUGAUCCGGAUCAGGGACAGUGUCUGAUGGGUAGUUUAACUGGGGCGGUUGCCUCCUAAAGGGUAACGGAGGCGCCCAAAGGUUCCCUCAGCCUGGUUGGCAAUCAGGUGUUGAGUGUAAGUGCACAAGGGAGCUUGACUGUGAGACCGACGGGUCGAGCAGGGACGAAAGUCGGGACUAGUGAUCCGGCGGUGGCUUGUGGAAGCGCCGUCGCUCAACGGAUAAAAGGUACCCCGGGGAUAACAGGCUGAUCUUCCCCAAGAGUCCAUAUCGACGGGAUGGUUUGGCACCUCGAUGUCGGCUCGUCGCAUCCUGGGGCUGGAGUCGGUCCCAAGGGUUGGGCUGUUCGCCCAUUAAAGCGGUACGCGAGCUGGGUUUAGAACGUCGUGAGACAGUUCGGUCCCUAUCCGCUGUGCGCGUAGGAGUCUUGAGAAGGGCUGUCCCUAGUACGAGAGGACCGGGACGGACGAACCUCUGGUGUGCCAGUUGUUCUGCCAAGGGCAUGGCUGGUUGGCUACGUUCGGGAGGGAUAACCGCUGAAAGCAUCUAAGCGGGAAGCCUGCUUCGAGAUGAGGACUCCCACCUCCUAGAGAGGGUAAGGCUCCCAGUAGACGACUGGGUUGAUAGGCCAGAUAUGGAAGCCGGGUAACCGGUGGAGUUGACUGGUACUAAUAGGCCGAGGGCUUGUCCUCAGUUG